AAAUCUUGAGCUCAGAUCAAGUGUAGUAUCUGUUCUUAUCAGUUUAAUAUCUGAUAUGUCCUUUAUUUGAGGACUGUAUAUUAAAUUGACUCUCCAUGAGUGUAACUUUUCCAUCUUUGUUAUAAAUACCAGAGGUCUUCACAGUCACUGGUUUCCGCACAGAGACCAGUUCUUGUAAUACAU